rnacentral:rRNA from 1 species
UACGGAGGGUGCGAGCGUUAAUCGGAAUUACUGGGCGUAAAGCGCGCGUAGGCGGUUUUGUAAGUCGGAUGUGAAAGCCCCGGGCUUAACCUGGGAAUUGCAUUCGAUACUGCGUGACUAGAGUAUGGUAGAGGGAAGCGGAAUUCCGGGUGUAGCGGUGGAAUGCGUAGAGAUCCGGAAGAACACCGGUGGCGAAGGCGGCCUGCUGGGCAGUAGCUGACGCUGAAGCGCGACAGCGUGGGGAGCAAACAGG